rnacentral:rRNA from 1 species
GGGGAACAUUGCACAAUGGGGGAAACCCUGAUGCAGCGACGCCGCGUGGAGGAAGAAGGUCUUCGGAUUGUAAACUCCUGUUGUUGAGGAAGAUGAUGACGGUACUCAACAAGGAAGUGACGGCUAACUACGUGCCAGCAGCCGCGGUAAAACGUAGGUCACAAGCGUUGUCCGGAAUUACUGGGUGUAAAGGGAGCGCAGGCGGGAAGACAAGUUGGAAGUGAAAUCUAUGGGCUCAACCCAUAAACUGCUUUCAAAACUGUUUUUCUUGAGUAGUGCAGAGGUAGGCGGAAUUCCCGGUGUAGCGGUGGAAUGCGUAGAUAUCGGGAGGAACACCAGUGGCGAAGGCGGCCUACUGGGCACCAACUGACGCUGAGGCUCGAAAGUGUGGGUAGCAAACAGGAUUAGAUACCCUGGUAGUCCACACCGUAAACGAUGAUUACUAGGUGUUGGAGGAUUGACCCCUUCAGUGCCGCAGUUAACACAAUAAGUAAUCCACCUGGGGAGUACGACCGCAAGGUUGAAACUCAAAGGAAUUGACGGGGGCCCGCACAAGCAGUGGAGUAUGUGGUUUAAUUCGACGCAACGCGAAGAACCUUACCAAGUCUUGACAUCCUGCGACGAUGCUGGAAACAGUAUUUUCCUUCGGGACGCAGAGACAGGUGGUGCAUGGUUGUCGUCAGCUCGUGUCGUGAGAUGUUGGGUUAAGUCCCGCAACGAGCGCAACCCUUACUGUCAGUUACUACGCAAGAGGACUCUGGCAGGACUGCCGUUGACAAAACGGAGGAAGGUGGGGAUGACGUCAAAUCAUCAUGCCCUUUAUGACUUGGGCUACACACGUACUACAAUGGCGUUAAACAAAGAGAAGCAAGACCGCGAGGUGGAGCAAAACUCAGAAACAACGUCCCAGUUCGGACUGCAGGCUGCAACUCGCCUGCACGAAGUCGGAAUUGCUAGUAAUCGUGGAUCAGCAUGCCACGGUGAAUACGUUCCCG